GAGAAAGAGGAGAAGGGCGAACGGGGGAUGCCUAGGCUUCCGGAAGCGAGGAAGGACGCGGUAAGCUGCGAAAAUCCACGGGGAUCCGCAAACGGGAAGUGAUCCGUGGGUAUCCGAAUGGGGCAACCCGCACGGCCGAAUGCCGUGCACCGGCUGCGAAGCCGGGGCGAACGCAGGGAACUGAAACAUCUUAGUACCUGCAGGAGAAGAAAGAAAGAAUCGAUUCCCUGAGUAGUGGCGAGCGAAAGGGGAGGAGCCCAAACCGCCGGCGUCGAGGCGCAGGCGGGGUAGUAGGGGCGUCCGCGAAGGCACAGCCAGGAACCGGAACCGUCUGGAAAGUCGGUCCGCAGAGGGUGAGAGGCCCGUACGGGUAACGGGGCUGUGUUUAGGGCGUUUCCUGAGUAGGGCGGGACACGAGGAAUCCUGUCCGAAGCAGCGGGGACCAUCCCGCAAGGCUAAAUAUGACCGGAAGACCGAUAGCGAACCAGUACCGUGAGGGAAAGGUGGGAAGCACCCCGGGCAGGGGAGUGAAAUAGAACCUGAAACCGUUCGUCUACAAGCGGUCGGAGCCGAGAGGCGACGGCGUGCCUUUUGCAUAAUGAGCCUACGAGUUGCGUCUCUCCGGCGAGGCUAAGCGCUUCAGGCGCGGGAGCCGUAGCGAGAGCGAGUCUGAACAGGGCGUUCAGUCGGAGGGAGCAGACGCGAAACCUAGUGAUCUACCCAUGUCCAGGGUGAAGGCGCCGUAACAGGCGCUGGAGGCCCGAACCAGUUUCCGUUGAAAAGGGCUUGGAUGAGAUGUGGGUAGGAGUGAAAGGCCAAUCAAACUGGGAGAUAGCUCGUACUCCCCGAAAUGUCUUUAGGGACAGCCUCGGACGUGUCCGCGUGAGGUAGAGCUACUGAUAGGAAGAGAGGGCUUCAUCGCCUAUCGAUUCCUGACAAACUCCGAAUGCGCGCGGAUCAGAGUCCGGGAGUGAGUCGUCGGGUGCUAAUAUCCGUCGGCGAGAGGGUAAGAGCCCAGACCAACAGCCAAGGCCCCCAAGAGCAGUCUAAGUUGAGACGAAACGAGGUGACACCGCAGUGACAGCUAGGAUGUUAGCUUGGAAGCAGCUAUUCAUUCAAAGAGUGCGUAACAGCUCACUAGUCGAGCGGCGUUGCGUGGAUGAUGAGCGGGCAUAAAGACUGCCGCCGAAGCUUUGGGCGCGGCGAAGAGCCGCGCGGUAGGGGAGCAUUCCGGACGGCGCCGAAGGCGUGACGCGAGUCGCGCUGGAGCGUCCGGAAAAGAAAAUGUAGGCAUGAGUAACGACAACGGGCGUGGAAACGCCCGCACCGCAAGCCCAAGGGUUCCUGAGCGACGUUAAACGGCUCAGGGUGAGUCGGGGACUAAGGGGAGGCCGAGAGGCGCACCCGAUGUGGAACCGGUAAAGAUUCCGGUACUCGCCGCGCAGGCGGGUCGGAGACCGAGGAGUGGAACUGCCGCCAGCUGACGGAAUAGCUGGUUGAAGGACGUAGGGCGACUGAAAUCCGACAGUACCGCGAGGCCACGGCCGAGCGGACAGCGCAGGUAAUCAGGCUCGCGAGAAAAUCCGACGCGCGCCAAGAGCGCGGGGACCCGUACCGUAAACCGACACAGGUGGGCGAGGAGAGUAUCCUGAGGUGCUCGAGUGAAUCACGGCCAAGGAACUAGGCAAAAUGACCGCGUAACUUCGGGAGAAGCGGACCCUGGGGACAGGGCG
rnacentral:rRNA from 1 species